UCAGCCCUCGUACCUUUUGCAUCAUGAUUUAGCCAGAACCCUUAAGCAAAGAGAACUUUAGUUUAAACCCCCGAAACUGAGUGAGCUACUCCAAGACAGCCUAUUAAUAAGGGCGAACCCGUCUCUGUGGCAAAAGAGUGGAAAGAGCUUAGAGUAGAGGUGACAAGCCAAUCGAACUCAGUCAUAGCUGGUUGCCUGAGAAUUGGAUCUAAGUUCAGCCCCCCGGGUUCUCCUUAAACCGGGGGAGUUAGUCAAAGGAGGUACAGCCCCUUUGAAACAAGACACAACUUUUCCAGGAGGGUAAAGAUUAUAUUAAUUAAGGAGAAAUAUCUUAGUGGGCCUUAAAGCAGCCACCCAAACAGAAAGCGUUCAAGCUCAAGUACAUAUUCUAAUAAGCCAAUCUUAACCCCCUAAACCUACCAGGCCGUUCUAUGCCCCCAUAGAAGCGACUAUGCUAGAAUGAGUAAUAAGAAGGGACCUUCUCCCAGCACACCUGUAAAUCGAAAUGGACAAACCACCGAAUAUUAACGACCCCAAACAAAAGAGGGCCAUGGGUGACUAACAAGAAAAACCCCCAUCGUUAACCCUACACUGGAGUGCUAACAAGGAAAGACUAAAACAAAGAGAAGGAACUCGGCAAACAAGCCUCGCCUGUUUACCAAAAACACCGCCUCC
rnacentral:rRNA from 1 species